rnacentral:rRNA from 1 species
AACGUAGGUUCCGAGCGUUAUCCGGAUUUACUGGGCGUAAAGCGCGUUCAGGCGGUUUGGCAAGUCGGGCAUGAAAUCUCUCGGCUCAACCGGGAGAGGUUGUCCGAUACUGCUGGACUUGAGGGCAGUAGAGGGUGGUGGAAUUCCGGGUGUAGUGGUGAAAUGCGUAGAUAUCCGGAGGAACACCAGUGGCGAAAGCGGCCACCUGGACUGCACCUGACGCUGACACGCGAAAGCCAGGGGAGCAAACGGG